CGCGGUUAUACCAAGUGAUUAAGUUAUAUCUUUAGGUAAAAAGACAGUUAGGUUUAUAGGCAAAUCUGUUUAUUAAACAUCUAUAAAAAAGUAAAAUUUGUAUAUAGAUAGCUAAUCUAAAAAUAACUAUUAUUUAGAUACUGAAGCUGUGAUAAUCUUGAGGGAAACUGGGAUUAGAUACCCCAUUAUUCUUGGUUGUAAAUAAAAUUAAAUUUACCAGAGUACUAUGAAUAGUUAAAAAUUUAAAACUCAAAGGGCUUGGCGGUGUUUUAGACCUAUCAGGGGAACCUGUCUCGUAAUCGACAAUCCACGUAAUAUCCAACCUUAUUUUGUAAUCAGUUUGUAUACCGUCGUCGUCAGGUAACUUUUAAAAAUAAAGAAGUUAGCAACAACAAUUAACCUAUGAAUUAAGACGUCAGAUCAAGGUGCAGCCUAUAAUAAGGAGAGGAUGGGUUACAAUUAUAAAAAUUAUAAUAACGGAAAUUUAAAUGCAAUUAUUAUUUUGAAGGAGGACUUGAAAGUAAACUAAAAUAUAUAGAUAGUUUGAAUAAGGCUCUG
rnacentral:rRNA from 1 species